ensembl:misc_RNA 7SK 7SK RNA
GGGUGUGGGCAAUCUGACAGCUUUCAAGGGAUUUGUUGCAGGGCUGAUUAGGCUGAUCUGGUUGGCUAAGUCCAUGGCCUUUUCCUACUUUGCUGUCCUAUGUCCUUUACUUCCCUUCUGAAGCUCAGCUCACUGUGGAAGAGGAACAUCAUCCUUGAUAGAAAGAGGGCUCCUAGAGAGAGAGCAUGAGUUGCUGCACUCCCCUCGUAGAACAUACAAAACGCCUUGCAAAAUGAUCAGAUUUACAUGAUAAGCACAUGUUAUCAGAAUAUUUUAGGAAGUUGUAACUCAUCUA